rnacentral:rRNA from 1 species
AGUGAACGCUGGCGGUAGGCCUAACACAUGCAAGUCGAACGGCAGCACAGGAGAGCUUGCUCUCUGGGUGGCGAGUGGCGGACGGGUGAGGAAUACAUCGGAAUCUGCCCAGUCGUGGGGGAUAACGUAGGGAAACUUACGCUAAUACCGCAUACGACCUUCGGGUGAAAGAGGGGGAUCGCAAGACCUCUCGCGAUUGGAUGAGCCGAUGUCGGAUUAGCUAGUUGGCGGGGUAAUGGCCCACCAAGGCGACGAUCCGUAGCUGGUCUGAGAGGAUGAUCAGCCACACUGGAACUGAGACACGGUCCAGACUCCUACGGGAGGCAGCAGUGGGGAAUAUUGGACAAUGGGCGCAAGCCUGAUCCAGCCAUACCGCGUGGGUGAAGAAGGCCUUCGGGUUGUAAAGCCCUUUUGUUGGGAAAGAAAUCUUUCAGGUUAAUACCCUGGGAGGAUGACGGUACCCAAAGAAUAAGCACCGGCUAACUUCGUG